rnacentral:rRNA from 1 species
CCCCUAGAUGUUCUGGGCCGCACGCGCGCUACACUGAACAGUUCAACAAGUCUUAACCUUGGCCGAUAGGUCUGGGUAAUCUUUGAACGCUGUUCGUGAUUGGGAUGGACCUUUGCAAUUAUGGGUCUUCAACGAGGAAUUCCUAGUAAACGCAAGUCAUCAGCUUGCAUUGAUUACGUCCCUGCCCUUUGUACACACCGCCCGUCGCACCUACCGAUUGAAUGGUCCGGUGAAAUCUCGGGACGGCGGCUCGGUCGCUUGCGUCCGACUGCUGAAACUUGAUUAAACCAUAUCAUUUAGAGGAAGGUGAAGUCGUAACA